rnacentral:rRNA from 1 species
AACGAACGCUGGCGGCAGGCUUAACACAUGCAAGUCGAGCGCCCCGCAAGGGGAGCGGCAGACGGGUGAGUAACGCGUGGGAAUCUACCCAUCACUACGGAACAACUCCGGGAAACUGGAGCUAAUACCGUAUACGUCCUUCGGGAGAAAGAUUUAUCGGUGAUGGAUGAGCCCGCGUUGGAUUAGCUAGUUGGUGGGGUAAUGGCCCACCAAGGCGACGAUCCAUAGCUGGUCUGAGAGGAUGAGCAGCCACACUGGGACUGAGACACGGCCCAGACUCCUACGGGAGGGAGCAGUGGGGAAUAUUGGACAAUGGGCGCAAGCCUGAUCCAGCCAUGCCGCGUGAGUGAUGAAGGCCCUAGGGUUGUACAGCUCUUUCACCGGUGAAGAUAAUGACGGUAACCGGAGAAGAAGCCCCGGCUAACUUCGUGCCAGCCGCCGCCGUAA